GACGAACGCUGGCGGCGUGCUUAACACAUGCAAGUCGAACGAGUGGCGAACGGGUGAGUAAUACGUGGGUACCCUGCCCUCCUUUUUGGGAUAAGCCUUGGAAACGGGGUCUAAUACCGAAUAAAGGGGGAUGGGCUCGCGGCCUAUCAGCUUGUUGGUGGGGUGAUGGCUACCAAGGCGUGCCGGGUAGCCGGCCUGAGAGGGGGACCGGCAACAUGGGGACUGAGAGACGGCCCAGAGUCCUACGGGGGGCAGCAGUGGGGGAGAUGGCACAAUGGACGAAAGCCGGAUGCAGCGACGCCGCGGGGGGGAUGAAGGCCUUCGGGUUGUAAACUCCUUUCGACAGGGACGCGGUACCUGUAUAAGAAGCACCGGCUAACUACGUGCCAGCAGCCGCGGUAAUUC
rnacentral:rRNA from 1 species